rnacentral:rRNA from 1 species
GUGGGGAAUCUUGCGCAAUGGGCGAAAGCCUGACGCAGCCAUGCCGCGUGAAUGAUGAAGGUCUUAGGAUUGUAAAAUUCUUUCACCGGGGACGAUAAUGACGGUACCCGGAGAAGAAGCCCCGGCUAACUUCGUGCCAGCAGCCGCGGUAAUACGGAGGGUGCAAGCGUUAUCCGGAAUCACUGGGUUUAAAGGGUACGUAGGCGGUUAAUUAAGUCAGUAGUGAAAGACUGUCGCUCAACGACGGAUGUGCUAUUGAUACUGGUUAACUUGAAUCAGGUUAGAGUUGGCGGAAUGGGUCAUGUAGCGGUGAAAUGCUUAGAUAUGACUUGGAACACCGAUAGCGAAGGCAGCUGACUGAGCCUUGAUUGACGCUGAGGUACGAAAGUGUGGGUAGCGAACAGGAUUAGAAACCCGUGUAGUCC